AACAAUGUGUGUGUGUAAUGGCAUAGUAUAGUUGAAUAAUUAAAUAUACAUAAUAAAUGAUAUUAAGGGGAUCACUUAAGUAGAUUUAUAUCUUGUAUUUUUUGUAUUAUUCUUGUCUACGUUUUGUCGGACUCUAUUUUUCGUUAAUAAUAUUCUUCAAUCUUCUUUCCAAAAAAAUAAAAAACCAAAAAGCCUGAUAUUUUAACCAUUGCGAGCCCCUGACGUGCUCGUCAAAUGAGAGUGAGUGAUAGGGAAGGGAAGAGAAGGGAAAGUGUCUGAGCAACACUGACAGUGGGAGUUUAAUUCAAAAAAAAUGGCAGAUUCUCGCAACAGUAAAGCUCUAAUCGUUUGCUUCCUACUGGCAUUCACUUGCUCACCACAGAACCCCACAGUCCUCGCCAAAUCGCCUCGUCCAAUCUCUGACACAGAGAUCAGGCAGAAGAAGAACGAGUGUUAUGCCGACAUCGAGAGUGGGUUGUGGGGUUGGCAAUGCAAGUCAUCAGUGAUAGCGAAGGAGAAUUGUGCUUUGCGAUGCUUAUCUCCUCCUUGUUACGGGCUUGUCUAUAAGAGUGACCCGUUGGAGGAAGGAGAGAAAGAUUUUGUCAGGAGCCAAGAAUAUAAAUACUGUAUGCAUAGAUUUGAAGAUGAGGAAGAUGAUUGAUGGAAGACCUGAGGCUGGUGGACUUUACUUUGGACUGCUAUGUCCUACUACUCGCCUUACUGCUGCUACACCACUCCAAAUCUAUUGUUGUCUUGGUUAUCGAUGGGAGAGAGCCUCGAGGGUGUUAGGGGGUCUUUUGACUACUGAAGUAGCAUUCUACCAAUAAUGCGCCGGGUGCACAUCUCUGUGUUAUUUCCAGGUUACUACAAUAGUGGAAAUGAGAAUUGUUGUAUGUUGUGGUGGUUACCCAUUUGUUUUCCCUUCAACAUCUGUGAUUAUUGGAGUCACAUUGUAACCUGGUGAUGUAAUUAUUUUGUAAAUCAAAUACUGGUUCAUUGACCUAUAUUUCUGGCAUUUGAAGUGAGCAUUUCCGAGGCAGACAAUGACUUAGUGUAAGAACAUUGUACUAGUGAGACGAUGCAAUGCCUGCUUCAGAAGCAUAAAGAAUUGCUUUGUUUCUA